rnacentral:rRNA from 1 species
UACGAAGGGGGCUAGCGUUGCUCGGAAUCACUGGGCGUAAAGGGUGCGUAGGCGGGUCUUAAGUCAGGGGUGAAAUCCUGGAGCUCAACUCCAGAACUGCCUUUGAUACUGAAGAUCUUGAGUUCGGGAGAGGUGAGUGGAACUGCGAGUGUAGAGGUGAAAUUCGUAGAUAUUCGCAAGAACACCAGUGGCGAAGGCGGCUCACUGGCCCGAUACUGACGCUGGAGGCACGAAAGCGUGGGGAGCAAACAGGG